rnacentral:rRNA from 1 species
GAGGGUGAGCGAACCCCAAAAAGGCCCCCCCAGUUCGGAUUGCAGCCUGCAACUCGGCUGCAUGAAGCUGGAAUCGCUAGUAAUCGCGGAUCAGAAUGCCGCGGUGAAUACGUUCCCGGGUCUUGUACACACCGCCCGUCACACCAUGGGAGUCGGUAACACCCGAAGUCGGUAGUCUAACCGAAAGGAGGACGCCGCCGAAGGUGGGAUUGAUGACUGGGGUGAAGUCGUAACAAGGUAGC